GCAUUGGUGGUUCAGUGGUAGAAUUUUCACCUCCCAUGCAAAGACCCAGGUUUGAUUCCUGGCCAAUGUA
rnacentral:tRNA from 1 species